rnacentral:piRNA from 1 species
GGCCAUCCCAGAAGGCUUCGUGUGUGAC